rnacentral:rRNA from 1 species
AUUGAACGCUGGCGGCAGGCCUAACACAUGCAAGUCGAGCGGAGCGGCGGACGGGUGAGUAAUGCCUAGGAAUCUGCCUGGUAGUGGGGGAUAACGUCCGGAAACGGGCGCUAAUACCGCAUACUCUCCACUGAGCCUAGGUCGGAUGAGCUAGUUGGUGGGGUAAAGGCAUACCAAGGCGACGAUCCAUAACUGGUUUGAGAGGAUGAUCAGUCACACUUGAACUGAGACACGGUCCAGACUCCGACGUGAGGCAGCAGUGGGGAAUCGUGGACAAUGGGCGAAAGCCUGAUCCAGCCAUGCCGCGUGUGUGAAGAAGGUCUUCGGAUUGUAAAGCACUUUAAGUUGGGAGGCGUUACCAACAGAAUAAGCACCGGCUAACUUCGUGCCAGCAGCCGCGGUAAUUC